rnacentral:rRNA from 1 species
AUUGAACGCUGGCGGCAGGCCUAACACAUGCAAGUCGAGCGGAUGAAGGGAGCUUGCUCCUGGAUUCAGCGGCGGACGGGUGAGUAAUGCCUAGGAAUCUGCCUGGUAGUGGGGGAUAACGUCCGGAAACGGGCGCUAAUACCGCAUACGUCCUGAGGGAGAAAGUGGGUGAUCUUCGGACCUCACGCUAUCAGAUGAGCCUAGGUCGGAUUAGCUAGCUGGUGGGGUAAAGGCCUACCAAGGCGACGAUCCGUAACUGGUCUGAGAGGAUGAUCAGUCACACUGGAACUUGGACACGGACCUGGCUCCUACGGGAGGCCGCAGUCGGGUAUGUGAGACAAUGGGCGAAAGCAUGAUCCAGCCAGGCGGCGUGUGUGAAGAAAGUCUUCGGAUUGUAAAGCACUUUAAGGUGGGAGAAAGGGCAGUAAGUUAAUACCUUGCUGUUUUGACGUUACCAACAGAAUAAGCACCGGCUAACUUCGUG